rnacentral:lncRNA from 1 species
AGAAUAAUCCCUGCAGUCUUUUGAUCUAAACAUCCUAAUUCUGCUUUUUGAUUUCGUUUACUAGUAAAAAAUUAUAUAUCUUAAAGAGUUCCUGAUUCUUGGUUUGAAAAAUGGUUUAAAUCUGGGAGGUUGAGAGAUUGUUUGGAGCUGUAUGAUUUAUUGGAAUACUAUUCCAUUGAGGACUGAUUGUUGCUACUGCUGUUGCUUAGCUUUGAUUCUCACUUCUGCUUUAUUCCUUCUCUUUUCCUGGUUUAUUUUGAUCCUUAUGAGUGUUAUUUGACAUGUAACUGGAAGCAUGAGUUAAAAAUCGGCUAUACACUUUAGCUUAUAGCCACUAUGUAGCUUAGAAGUUUGAUUAAUGUAUUUGUCAAAGCAU